rnacentral:lncRNA from 1 species
GGGGGUCUCACUUAUGGGGCUGGGGGUCUCACUUAUGGGGCUGGAGAUGCCCCCAGCAUCCCGCUAUGGGGCUGGGGGUCUCACUUAUGGGGCUGGGGGUCUCGCUAUGGGGCCAGAGGUCUCACUUAUGGGGCUGGGGGUCCCGCUAUGGGGCUGGGGGUGCCACAAGGGUCUCACUUGUGGGGCUGGGGGUCCUGCUGUGGGGCUGGGGGUUGCGCUAUGGGGCUGGAGGUCCCGCUGUGGGGCUGGGGUCUCACUUAUGGGGCUGGAGAUGCCCCUAGCAUCCCGCUAUGGGGUCAAGGGUCUCACUUAUGGGGCUGGGGGUCUCGCUAUGGGGCUGGGGGUCUCACUUAUGGGGCUGGAGGUGCCCCCAGCAUCCCGCUAUGGGGCUGGGGGUCUCACUUAUGGGGCUGAGGGUCUCACUUAUGGGGCUGAGGGUCUCGCUAUGGGGCUGGGGGUCUCACUUAUGGGGCUGAGGGUCUCACUUAUGGGGCUGGGGUUGCCCCCAGCAUCCCGCUAUGGGGCUGGAGAUCUCUCUAUGGGGCUGGGGGUCUCACUUAUGGGGCUGGAGAUGCGCCCAGCGUCCCGCUAUGGGGCUGGGGGUCUCACUUAUGGGGCUGAGGGUCUCACUUAUGGGGCUGGAGAUCUGACUUAUGCGGCUGGGGGUCUCACUUAUGGGGCUGGAGGUGCCCCCAGCAUCCCGCUAUGGGGCUGGGGGUCUCACUUAUGGGGCUGGAGAUCUCACUUACGGGGCUGGGGGUCUCACUUAUGGGGCUGGAGGUGCCCCCAGCAUCCCGCUAUGGGGCCAAGGGUCUCACUUAUGGGGCUGAGGGUCUCACUUAUGGGGCUGGAAGUCCCUCCCUCCCUCCCGCCCCCUAACUUAUGGGUCUGCCCCACAGACACGUACGUGAUCAAGCUGUUUGACCGCAGCGUGGAGCUGGGGCAGUUCUCCGAGGGGACUCCCCUGUACCCGGUUUGCCGCGCCUGGAUGCGCAACUGCCCCACGGCGCGACCCACGCUCUGCCCCACGGCGCCGGAGCCCGCCCCACACCUCGAGGUCUGAGCCACAAGUUGGGGGGCUGCACGGUUUUUGGGGGAGGGGAG